UGGGCGGGGCCCCAGGGGCGCUUCUCCCGCGAGGAGUUCCGCGUGAAGUGGCGGGAGCGGCGGCUAUGGAGGCGCGGGAAGCGAAAGAAGCGCAGGUUGCUGCGUGGUUGAAAAAAAUAUUUGGAGAUCAUCCCAUUCCACAGUAUGAGGUGAACCCACGGACCACAGAGAUUUUGUAUCAUCUUUCGGAACGCAACAGGGCCCGGGACAGGGACGUCCACCUAGUCAUAGAGGACUUGAAACAGAAAGCAAGCGAGUAUGAAUCCGAAGCCAAGCAUCUUCAAGACCUUCUCAUGGAGAGUGUAAAUUUCUCUCCUGCCAAUCUCUCCAGCACCGGUUCCAGGUAUCUGAAUGCUUUGGUUGACAGUGCAGUGGCUCUUGAAACAAAGGAUACCUCACUUGCUAGUUUUAUCCCUGCAGUGAAUGAUUUGACAUCUGAUCUUUUUCGUAUCAAAUCCAAAAAUGAAGAAAUCAAGCUUGAAUUGGGAAAACUUGAAAAAAAUCUAACUGCAACAUUAGUAUUAGAAAAAUGUCUACGAGAGGAUCUCAAGAAGGCAGAACUGCAUCUGUCUAUAGAAAGGGCCAAAGUUGACAGUCGUCUUCAGAACAUGGAUUUCCUGAAGGCAAAGUCAGAGGAGUUCAGAUUUGGCAUCAAAGCUGCAGAGGAGCAGCUCUCAGCCAGAGGCAUGGACGCUUCUCUGUCUCAUCAGUCACUAGUCGCACUGUCGGAGCAUUCUGUAAAGGUACUAAAUGAUCGUGAAAAUUGUUUGUGGAUUUAAAGUCAGUUGGGGAAUCUCAGUGUUAAUCCAUCUCUUGCUCAAGUGAAAAUUGAAGAAGCAAAGCGAGAAUUAGAUGCCAUUGAAGCUGAACUUACAAAGAAAGUAGACAUGAUGGAACUGUGACCAGAGCCAAAUAAACAUCCUUUUCCCUAACAAAGUACAUUGAGUAGAACUUCAAAGGACCUUUUUUUUUUUUUUGCUCUUGGCAUUCCUUAAAAAGAUAAUUUCUAUGUUCUUAGAUGAGAUGAUAAUGUCAAUAUUGAUAGAAUGAUGGUUUCUGGCUGUGUAUUGUAUUUUUGUGCUCCAAUACAGUUUUCAUAUUAAAAAGCAUUUCUCUCA